CGCCCGAGCGGAAGCGGAAGUGCGCGGCGGCUGCGGCGGGCCGAGGGCUACGCGGGCGUGUCUCCGGCUGUGCUGGCGCAUCUCUAGAUCCUUUCCAGGAGGUCAGUUAUGGGUGUGAGAGGCUUACAGGGAUUUGUGAGAAGUAGCUGCCCACUUGUAUGUAUGGUAGUAAAUUUCAAAGAGCUGGCAGAGCACCACCGAAGCAGGCAUCCUGGAGGCACCCCUACCGUUGUGGUCGACGCCAUGUGUUGCCUCAGAUACUGGUACACGCCGGAAUCGUGGGUCUGUGGUGGCCAGUGGCGGGAAUACUUUUCUUCUUUGCGAGAAUUUGUGAAAACUUUUACAGCUGUUGGCAUCAAGUUGGUAUUCUUCUUUGAUGGCAUGGUGGAGCAGUCCAAGAGAGACGAGUGGGUGAAACGAAGACUCAAGAACAACAGGGAGAUAGCCAAGAUCUUCCAUUAUAUCAAGUCCCACAGGGAGCAGCCUGGCAGAAACAUGUUCUUCAUCCCCUCAGGGCUGGCCAUAUUUACGCAGUUUGCUUUGAAGGCCCUGGGUCAGGAAACUCUGUGUUCGUUACAGGAGGCCGACUAUGAGGUGGCUUCCUAUGGCCUCCAGAACAACUGUCUUGGGAUUCUUGGAGAAGACACUGACUAUUUAAUUUAUGACACCUGUCCCUACUUUUCCAUCAGUGAGCUCUCCCUGGACAGUCUGGACACCGUCAUGCUCUGCCGAGAGAAGCUCUGUCAGAGCCUUGGUCUCAGCCUGUCUGACCUUCCUCUUCUGGCCUGCCUGCUUGGCAACGACAUCAUCCCAGAAGGCAUGUUCGAAAGCUUUCGUUACAAGUGCUUGUCUUCUUAUACCUCUGUGAAAGAGAACUUUGACAAAAAAGGUAACAUUAUCUUAGCUGUAGCAGACCACAUAUCUAAAGUUCUUCGGUUGCAUCAAGGUGAGAAGAAGCUGGAAGAGAUGUUACCUUUGGGGCCAAACAAAGCUCUUUUUAAUAAAGGAGUGGCAUCAUAUCUUUUGCCAGGACAGAAAUCUCCAUGGUUUUUUCAAAAACCUAAAGGUGUAGUAACUUUGGACAAGCAGGUACUAUCCAUGAGUUCAGAUCCUAAAUCCAAGCAAGAAGUUCCCGUGUGUACACACCCUGAGUCCAAGCAAGAAGUUCCCAUGUGUACAGACUCUGAAUCCAAGCAAGAAGUUCCUUUGUGUACACACCCUGAAUCCAAACAAGAGGUUCCCAUGUACACAGACCCUGAAUCCAAACAAGAAGUUGCCAUGUGUACACACCCUGAAUCCAAACAAGAAGUUCCCAUGUGUACACACCCUGAAUCCAAGCAAGAAGUUCCCGUGUGUACAGAUCCUGAAUCCAAGCAAGAAGUUCCCAUGUACACAGACCCUGAACCCAAGCAAGAAGUUCCCUUAUGUACACACCCUGAAUCCAGGCAAGAAGUUCUCUUAUGCACACACCCUGAAUCCAAACAGAAAUUACCUGUAGGUACGGACCCUGAAUUUAACCUAGAAGCACCCCUGUAUACAAACCCUGAAACUAAACAAGAGGAUCCUGUAAAUAUGGGGUCUGAAGUCAAGCAACAAAUAACUAUGGUUUCGGAUCCUGAAAUCUUAAAGGUCGCCAGAGCGCAUCACGUCCAGGCAGAGAGCUACCUGGUGUACAAUGUCAUGAACAGCGGAGAGGUCGAAUGCAGCAACAGCCUGGAGGAUGCGAUGGACCAAGCUCUGCCCAGCCAGGCCUUCGUCUACCGCCCAGUGCGGCAGCGGGUGUACUCCCUCUUGCUGGGGGAUGGCGAAGGUGGUGCCAGCGCCUGCCCCACCGUCAAGGAGUGGUUUGUGUACUCUGGGAACCCGCUGAGGCAGCCGGACCUCGUCAGGCCUCUGCAGAUGAGCAUUCCAGGGGGAGCGCCUAGUUUGAAGCUACUGUGGCUGAGCCAAGAGGCAGGACUCCAGGCCCAGCGCUUGGACACACUCCUAGCCUGUUUUGACCUUUCCUACUCGCGGGAAGAGCUGCAGGUGGUCGAGAGCCCCUUUCAAGCCUUGUGCUGCCUCCUGAUCUACCUCUUUGUGCAGGUGGACACCCUCUGUCUGGAGGAUCUGCACGCCUUCAUUGCGCAGGCCCUGUGCCUCGAAGGAAAGACCACCAUGGAGCUUGCAGACUUGCAGCUCGACCACGUCGACCCCAGGGCCGUGCAGCUGGGUACCCUCCUGGUCCGUGGCCUCACCACCCUGGUGCUGGUCAACAGUGCCUGUGGCUUCCCCUGGAAGACGUCGGACUUCAUGCCCUGGAAUUUGUUCGACGGGAAGCUAUUUCAUCAGAAGUACCUGCAGUCUGAGAAAGGGUACACAGCAGAGGCGCUUGUGGAACAACACAGGUCCCGGCUCACCAGAUUCCAUGCCCUGAAGUCAGUCGUGUGCAAGGCCUGCAUGAAGGAGAACAGACCCAUCGUCAGCAGGCGGCACUGGCGUUCACACCACUCAGGGCGGAGGGGCCAACAGGGAUCCAGCGCCCACAGGACGAGCUCUGGGUACAGCCGGUCUGGCCAAGGACAGCACUGGAGGGACCAGGGGCCAGGAAGUAGACAGUAUGACCCUGACCAAUGGAGAAGAUAUUAAUCAUCUUCUGGGUGACCAUGCCUGAAUACACGCUGUGACCCUCGGUGACAGAAUGAUCUGGGCCGUUCCGAGGUGUGUCAGUCCCUCUGAAGCCUCCCCGACCAGCCAGACCCCGCCCAGGUUGCAGCCGCCCUGCGGGUCGGUGACGAGCUGCCUGGGACAGCAGAGAGGGAAGGGGACUGUUUCCCCUGGUCCCUGGUCCCACUGAAAGGUUCAGGGGAGGCUGCUGUGGUGACCAGACAAGGCGGGGCUUCCGGGAGACUCCAGACAGCCAGGAAGGAGGUCAGGAAUCGCGGGCUCACCCCCCACCGCCCUGCUGUCAGGCAGGGUCUCACUGGGCAGCCCCAGACUUCAGCCGAGAUCCGCAGCAAGCUUCCCCGGGAGUCAGGAGGCUCAGAGGGUUGGGGUCAGACAAGCUGAGCAAAACCCGGGUGCCCCUGAAUCUCCCUGAGCCUCAAUUUCCUCGUCCAUAAAAUGGGGGCGUCCUUUCCAGGAGGUGCGGCGGAGCCAGAGGAGGCUGUGCUCGCCCCCAGCAGGUGCCGGCCGCCUCUCCUUCCUCUCUGUGUGCGUCUCUCCCCUGUCUCGCUGUCUCUCUCUGUCUGUGUCUGUCUCUGCCUCUGCUUCCUCCCCCAACAGUCAUGCCCUGGCUACCUGGCCUCGACGCUAAGCCCUGGACGUCCAGAAAACGCACGUAGGAGCCCCUGCAGUGCCCUUCUUGAGCCACCCCUGGUUCAGGGUAGCGUUUGAACCUGCCCUUGGCCCGAGAGGCAGAAGGCCCAGGGGGCUGACGGCAAACGGAGGGGACGGCCGGCUUCCCUGCAGGAGUUGGAACUUGAGACGGACAGGCAGCUGGCAGCUGAAGCCAGAGCCAGAAGACACACAGAGGACAGUCCUUGGCUCUCCCAGGAUCGCGUCUCCUUCCAAGUGGCCACACGAACUAGCUUGACGAGCUAAUCCCCAAACCGGAAAGAAAUGAGGCACCAUUGAAAGCAGUCAGGCAGAUGUCACCUAGAUGGUGGCUCUCCCUCUCCUCUGCCCAGAAGGCUGAUGUGGAAACUGAGGCACAGACAGGGCAGCCCCAGGGGUCUCACCCUGCGAUCUCACUGCAGAGCCUGAACUCCUAACGACCGCCGUCCUUCGCGGUUUGCAGGGAGCUGUCAGAAGCUAAGAGAUCUGUAACACUUUAGGCUGUGGGGUCAGAGGCGACCUCUUCGCCUCUCCAGCUACCGUGAAGGUGGGGAAGGAUUUAGCCUCUCUGAGUCCCAGGCUCCUCAUCUGUGCGACAAAGCAGGGCUCCUGCAGGAUUAAACGGCAUGAAUUCUGUUACAGAAGACGCGGCCCUCCUGGUCAGAGCCGAGCCUCCAGGCUGAGAGGGGCUGGUGAGGGCGGAGUCUGAGGACUGUUCCUCGGGCAGGAGUUUUCCUUUGUCCCCUCGGUUGCCGCCCUCCUACCUCUACCCCACGGGGCGCCGUCUGAUGGCUCUGGCAGCCCUCCUGCCAAGGCGUUUCUGUCCAGGGCGACUCCCCAGCUUGUGUCUGCUGGCUCCCAGUGUGGCUUCACGUUCAUGACAUAGAAUCGCAGAGUCCCCUCAAAACCCGUGUUCUCGAAGGAGCGGAGGGUCGGAGGCCUGAAGCGGUCUGUCCCGUGUCACGGGCUGUGCAGUCCAGACGGUCACCAGUCCAGCAGGGGCUGGACCCACUCGUUCACCGAAACCGCUUGCUGCCCACCCUGAGCGCCAGGCCCCCGUCCAAGCGAGCAAAGCCGCGUGAAGCUUCGCCCUCCGGGCUGCAGCCGAUGGCGGACAAGAUUACAGCCAACAGACACUGCGCAAGGGGCCACCGCGGGAAACGAUGGCGGAGGUGGGGAGGGCGUGGUGCUCCGGAAAGAGACGAGGGAAGCCCAUCUUCUGAGCGAGCCACCCACGCAGGGCGUCCCACAGGCUGGGCGGGCAGUGCCAGCUUCCUGCCCGCUCUCAGGAGCCCUGCUCCCCCGCCAGCUUACGUGUGGCCUCCUGCCCCGCCUCUCGGGCCCAGGCUCUCUGAGCACCUACUGUUUACACCCGAGCAGGGACAGAGUGAGGCUCCGCCCAGAGUGGGGCGCAGGGGCUGGGAAACCAGCAGGUGCUCUGGGCAGAGAGCUCAGCAGAAAAGGGACUAUCUGGAAACAGCCCUCUGACCUACAUGCCACAGGGCGGGAAUGUGUCAGCUUCCGGAAGCGUCCGGGCGACAGAGCUCCCGGGUUUCAGCACCACCCCCCACGGCCCCUGGGGAGGCACAGGGACUCCCAGAAGGGAGGAGGGCAGUAACCCCCUCUUAUCCUCAAGCCUGUCUGUGCCUUCCCUCACUGUCAUUACCACAUCUGUGAACAUCUGGAUCCCAGAGAAACAGGGCACUGGAUCAGAUCUCUAGUAGCCAGGUUCUUAGGCAAAUUUUUCCCCUUUAAACGAAGUAAGUCUAUUAAAGAAUACGAGAGACAACAAACAGCUCUGGACACAUGGCCUGCUGCGGCUAAAAGAAAUGAAGGUUUCUUCAUUUGGGAAAGGCUUUGGGGAGACAUCUCGGCUCUGGGAAAUAGAGCACAGCUAAUGUCUGGGAGGAGGGCUCCUGUGCUCCGACGUUUCGCGUGUUGAUGGCCGUUGUGUGGUGUUUGUCGUGCUGUGUCGUGUUGCUCGCUUGCCUUUCUUUCUGGGAGGCUGUGCAUCUCCGAUCUUCUCCUUCCUUGGAAAUUUUUAGCAAGUAGGCAAAUUCACGAGUAUGAAAUCCAUGGGUAAUGAGGAUUGACUGUAUACAUAUGUACACAUACAUGUAGUCUCAGGGUAUGUACAUGUGAGAUGGGCACCAAACAUAGGCUGCAUUGAAGUUGCCAUCCGUGUAUCGUGCUACUUUCGUGUGCCCUGUUUGCUCCAAGCACUGGGACUGAAACACUGAGAGACACAGAGUUGCUGCUCCCAGAGGCUUUAUUCUAAAGGGAGAGACUGAGUAAACUCAAGACAAGUGAACAAAUAGUUGCAGAUUAUGCUAAUUACUAGGAACAAAAUAAUCAGUUUGCUCUUCCAAAGAAUUAAGUACUCAGACAGGGUAGAUGAGAGAGAGGACAGCUGGCACCUGAAGAGCCAAGGGAAACCCUUCCUAACGGCGUGAGGACGUCUGUCUGGGGAGGGGAGAAGGCAAGGUGGCUGGUGGCCUGGAGGCCCGAAGUGGCUGGCGAGGCUCCAGAGCCCCAGGCCUGGGGAGCGGUUAGUUCUGUGGACGAGAAUGGAGCUGGUGGGAGUGGUUAGUGGGUUUUUGACUCUUUAUGUAAUUGUGGGUUUUUAACGAGAAGGUAUAGUCAUGUAGCAUAAUAUACUAACAAAAGUUUAAAGAACAAAAGCCAAGCGUAUCCAAGUUCCUUCAAGAGUGGCCUCCAGAGCCCUAAGAAACACCCACAACCAGAACUUGGAUAAGGAAGGAGAAAGCCCCAGAGAAUGCGCUGUCACAAAGCCGAGACAGACGGAAGGGAGUCCAAGCAAGAGAAUUCUUUCUUAGAUUUGGCCUGAGUACAUCCGUGGUGUCUUGACGAGAGCCCUUCGAUGUGUCAGAGUGCAGGAGGGCACGUGGAGGGAAGGAUCUCAAAGCAGCGUUUACAGAAAGCGUUUUGAGGAAUUUGACUCUAAAGAGAAUCAGAGUAAUGGAGCGGUAGCUGGAGGGGGGUUAGGAGGCCGGAGAGGUUCUCUUGUUUCUUUAUGUGGGAGACCCGAAAGCACAUCAGUUUACCAGUGAGGACGACCGGGUCCUAAAGAAAGAUCAGUAAUUCACAGCGGAGGAGGGCGUAGUGGGAGGAAAGAAGACCUAGACAAUGAGAGGGAAUGGGGUCAGAAAUUCCUGUGAAAUAACUGAUCUUUGUUAGGAGGAAAGACCUUCUCCAGUUGUAUCUGGAUGGAAUAAAGAGAGAAAGGUGCAGAUAGGAGUAUAGACUUGGGAGGAGAGUAUAAUACAUCAGGGGCUUCCCUUCCCUGGUGGCACAGUGGUUAGGAAUCUGCCUGCCAAUGCAGGGGACACGGGUUCGAGUCCUGGUCUGGGAAUAUCCCACAUGCCGCGGAGCAACUAAGCCCGUGUGCCACAACUACUGAGCCGGUGCUCUAGAGCCCACGAGCCACAACUGCUGAGCCUGCGUGCCACAACUACUGAAGCCCGCCUGCCUAGAGCCCGUGCUCCGCAACGAGAGAAGCCACCACAAUGAGGAGCCCGUGCACCACAACAAAGAGCAGCCCCUGCUCGCCACAACUAGAGAAAGCCUGCGCGCAGCAACGAAGACCCAAUGCAGCCAAAAAUAAAUAAAUAAAUAA